UGGGAAGCCGCUGCCCUUCCCUGCGCGAUGACUUACACCGGUGGAGCAGUGCUGGGGCGCAGCGGCCCGGCCAAGCCAGGCUGGGGCCGCAGUGAGGGGAUCCCUGUGGCCCAGUGGCCAGGACUGCGGGCCUCCUGGACCCCGCGAGCCUGUCGCGCAGCCAGGCUGUAAUGGUGCGAGAUCAAAGGCUGCCCGUGUCCUCGCGGAGCCCGGGACAAUCCUUCGCCUUUGUGCCCGGUUGCUAGGAGCCGAAGAAACUAAGAGAAAGUGUCAGGAGCGUGUUAAUCAGACUCGUUACAGUGUAACAAUAACGUCUUUCUUGGGGCUCCUGGGCCCCCGCGCACCCCGAGCACAGGCCGGACACCUGCGCGGGGGCCCAUAGCCGGUCUUGGGGACCCGUCGACCGGGUGUGUCGCCAACACCGAAGUUGGCUCCUGGGCCAUACAUAAAGAAUUCUGGGGGGAGCCUCCACACGCUAGGCAAGUCUGGCGAGUCCUGGUGUACUGGAUCUGAGUUCCACUCCCUAAAGAUGACGGAUCUGUAAGCCAUAGGACCUGGGAAGAUCCAGGUCUUCUGCCUGGCCAGUUUCCUAGUUAACAUUCUCCCAGAUGCCACAAGCAACUUUGUGGAUUUCUUUGCAUCUCUGCGAGAGAAAACCAUAAAUUCUAAUCCCCACAGUAAGAAAGAAGCAGAAGAUAGGCUCUGCAGUGUGUGAGCCAGGCCGAGGCAGCCUGAGGCCUGAGGAAUGAGGUCCACUCUUUUGUAGUAUGCACAUGGUUCCACAGACUCGCCUAGAGGACCUGCCCGUUGCUGAUCUGAUGACCAGGCCAUGUGCAGGUGACUGCAAAGCUGCGCUCAGCCACAACUAGAGAUUGGCCAAGAUACACAGCUAGCAUCACAAAGACAAAGAAUGUUCUUCUGCCUCCGAGGGCUCCUUGUGGUGUCUUCAGAGGAAUACUCUGGGCAUCCAGCUUUAUAUCCCCUAAGCACCAGAGGACAGAAGGGACAAGCCUGUGUGAGCCCUGGAUUUUUCUGUAGAGGAGUUGAAUAGAUGGCUCAUCCCAUAAAAGCGCUAAGUAACCCA